rnacentral:rRNA from 1 species
CAUGCAAGUCAACGGCUUUCUAUGGAAGCUUGCUUCCACUGAGAAGAUAGUGGCGAACGGGUGAGUAACACGUGGGGUAACCUGCCCAUAAGAGGGGGAUAACAUCCGGAAACGGGUGCUAAUACCGCAUAGUUUUCUUGAUCGCAUGAUUGAGAAAGGAAAGACGGCCUUUGUGCUGCCGCUUAUGGAUGGACCCGCGGCGUAUUAGUUAGUUGGUGAGGUAACGGCUCACCAAGACGAUGAUACGUAGCCGACCUGAGAGGGUGAUCGGCCACAUUGGGACUGAGACACGGCCCAAACUCCUACGGGAGGCAGCAGUAGGGAAUCUUCCGCAAUGGACGAAAGUCUGACGGAGCAACGCCGCGUGAGUGAAGAAAAGGUUUUCGGAUCGUAAAACUCUGUUGUCAGAGAAGAACAAGUUGGAGAGUAACUGCUCCAGCCUUGACGGUAUCUGACCAGAAAGCCACGGCUAACUACGUGCCAGCCGCAGC